rnacentral:rRNA from 1 species
UAGGGAAUCUUCCGCAAUGGACGCAAGUCUGACGGAGCAACGCCGCGUGAGUGAGGAAGGCCUUCGGGUCGUAAAGCUCUGUUGCCAGGGAAGAACAGAGGGGAGAGUAACUGCUCCCCUUGUGACGGUACCUGAGAAGAAAGCCCCGGCUAACUACGUGCCAGCAGCCGCGGUAAUACGUAGGGGGCAAGCGUUGUCCGGAAUUAUUGGGCGUAAAGCGCGUGCAGGCGGCCUUGUAAGUCUGGUGUUUAAACCCGGGGCUCAACCUCGGGUCGCACGGGAAACUGCAAGGCUUGAGUGCAGAAGAGGAAAGUGGAAUUCCACGUGUAGCGGUGAAAUGCGUAGAGAUGUGGAGGAACACCAGUGGCGAAGGCGACUUUCUGGGCUGUAACUGACGCUGAGGCGCGAAAGCGUGGGGAGCAAACAGGAUUAGAUACCCUGGUAGUCCACGCCGUAAACGAUGAGUGCUAGGUGUUAGGGGUUUCGAUACCCUUGGUGCCGAAGUUAACACAGUAA